CACCUCCACCUCCACCUCCCCCUUCCCUUCUCGCCAAUCUCACUUCAUCCUCCUCCUCCCAUCAAUGGCGGCGGCGCUCGCGUUCCCCACCUGCUGCUGCUGCCGCCGCCCCUCGCUGCGUCCUUCCGCGGGUCGCCGCGGCCGUCGCCCCGUCGCCCGCUGCGCGCUCCCCUCCUCCGAGAAGAAUUCAUUUAGCUGGAAAGAAUAUGCAAUUUCUGUAGCAUUAUCGGCUGGAUUAAUCACUGGCGCACCAACGUUAGGAUGGCCAGCACAUGCUUCUCCUCUUGAACCAGUGAUCCCAGAUGUUUCAGUUUUGAUCUCUGGACCUCCCAUUAAAGAUCCUGGUGCUUUAUUGAGAUAUGCUUUGCCAAUAGAUAAUAAAGCUGUUCGUGAAGUUCAAAAACCACUAGAGGAUAUCACUGACAGUCUUAAGAUUGCUGGUGUUAGAGCCUUGGAUUCAGUUGAAAGAAAUGUAAGACAAGCAUCGAGGGCACUGAGUAAUGGGAGGAACCUAAUUCUUGGCGGUCUUGCUGAAUCCAAAAGAGCAAAUGGGGAGGAAUUAUUGGAUAAAUUGGCUGUUGGACUUGAUGAGCUUCAACGGAUUGUUGAGGACAGAAACAGGGAUGCAGUAGCUCCAAAGCAGAAAGAACUUCUCCAGUAUGUUGGAACUGUAGAAGAAGAUAUGGUCGAUGGAUUCCCCUAUGAAGUGCCAGAAGAAUACAGCAGCAUGCCUCUUCUCAAAGGAAGGGCUACCGUGGACAUGAAGGUUAAGAUUAAGGACAAUCCUAAUUUAGAGGAUUGCGUAUUUCGGAUUGUUCUGGAUGGAUACAAUGCUCCUGUGACUGCUGGGAACUUCUUAGAUCUGGUGGAACGGAAGUUCUAUGAUGGCAUGGAAAUUCAAAGAGCUGAUGGUUUUGUUGUUCAAACUGGCGAUCCUGAGGGACCAGCUGAGGGAUUUAUUGAUCCCAGUACUGGUAAAGUUCGUACAAUACCUCUUGAGUUAAUGGUCGAUGGUGACAAAGCGCCUGUAUAUGGUGAAACACUUGAAUACACAUGAUCAUGCAUUCAGGAACUUGGCCGCUACAAGGCUCAAACAAAGCUUCCUUUUAAUGCAUUUGGAACAAUGGCAAUGGCUAGAGAUGAAUUUGAUGACAAUUCUGCUUCUAGCCAAAUCUUUUGGUUGUUAAAAGAGAGUGAGCUAACACCAAGCAAUGCCAAUAUACUGGAUGGGCGGUAUGCCGUAUUUGGAUAUGUCACCGAGAACGAGGACUACUUGGCAGACCUCAAGGUUGGGGAUGUCAUUGAAUCGAUUCAAGUUGUCUCAGGCUUAGACAACCUCGCCAACCCAAGCUAUAAGAUUGUAGGAUAAAAUGUUUCUUUUUUUCAGGAGUUCCUUGAUAGGCAAUUAUUUUACCAUAUUGAAAUCAGUGUAAAGUGCUAUAAUCUCUAACCCUCAUCUCAUGACCUUCUAUGUUUUGUGAGUUUUGCAAUAUGCGGGAUUCAAUAUUACUUGAAAGUAAAGACGUUCAUCAUUUGUCUCUUGCCA